rnacentral:rRNA from 1 species
UACGUAGGUGGCAAGCGUUGUCCGGAUUUACUGGGCGUAAAGGGCGUGCAGGCGGUUUGUUAAGUGCAGGGUGAAAGCUCCCGGCUCAACCGGGGAGGGUCAUUGGAAACUGGGAAACUUGAGUGCAGAAGAGGAAAGUGGAAUUCCAAGUGUAGCGGUGAAAUGCGUAGAGAUUUGGAGGAACACCAGUGGCGAAGGCGACUUUCUGGUCUGUAACUGACGCUGAGGCGCGAAAGCGUGGGGAGCAAACAGG